GUCUCAUUGAUUAAAACAAAUAAUGAGUUUAACCUGCUCAGUGAAAAAUUUAACAGCCGCAGUACCCUGACUGUGCUAAGGUAGCAUAAUAAUUUGUCUCAUAAUUAGAGAAUAGAAUGAAUGGUUUAACUAGGGUGUAACUGUCUCUUAUAUAAUAAUUAAAAAUUAAUUUUUAGGUUAAAAGGCUUAAAUUAAAUUAAAAGACGAGAAGACCCUAUUGAGCUUUAUAAUGCCUGUAUUAAUUAAUUUUUAUAGAAUAAAUGAUUAUUUAAUGGAGAAUUUUUAGUUGGGGCGACUUGAGAAUAAAAAAAACUUCUCUGAAUAAAAGUAAGAGAUAUCUAAUGAUCCAAAAUAAUUUUGAAUUAAAAACAAGUUACCAUAGGGAUAACAGCGUUAUUUUCUUUUGAGAGUUCUAAUCGAAAAAGGAGUUUGCGACCUCGAUGUUGGAUUAAGAAGUAAUAAAGGUUGUAGAAGCUUUUAUAAUUAGUCUGUUCGACUAUUAAAAUCUU
rnacentral:rRNA from 1 species